rnacentral:rRNA from 1 species
CACGUGGGUAACCUGCCCAUCAGAAGGGGAUAACACUUGGAAACAGGUGCUAAUACCGUAUAACAAUCAAAACCGCAUGGUUUUGAUUUGAAAGGCGCUUUCGGGUGUCGCUGAUGGAUGGACCCGCGGUGCAUUAGCUAGUUGGUGAGGUAACGGCUCACCAAGGCCACGAUGCAUAGCCGACCUGAGAGGGUGAUCGGCCACAUUGGGACUGAGACACGGCCCAAACUCCUACGGGAGGCAGCAGUAGGGAAUCUUCGGCAAUGGACGAAAGUCUGACCGAGCAACGCCGCGUGAGUGAAGAAGGUUUUCGGAUCGUAAAACUCUGUUGUUAGAGAAGAACAAGGAUGAGAGUAACUGUUCAUCCCUUGACGGUAUCUAACCAGAAAGCCACGGCUAACUACGUGCCAGCAGCCGCGGUAAUACGUAGGUGGCAAGCGUUGUCCGGAUUUAUUGGGCGUAAAGCGAGCGCAGGCGGUUUCUUAAGUCUGAUGUGAAAGCCCCCGGCUCAACCGGGGAGGGUCAUUGGAAACUGGGAGACUUGAGUGCAGAAGAGGAGAGUGGAAUUCCAUGUGUAGCGGUGAAAUGCGUAGAUAUAUGGAGGAACACCAGUGGCGAAGGCGGCUCUCUGGUCUGUAACUGACGCUGAGGCUCGAAAGCGUGGGGAGCAAACAGGAUUAGAUACCCUGGUAGUCCACGCCGUAAACGAUGAGUGCUAAGUGUUGGAGGGUUUCCGCCCUUCAGUGCUGCAGCUAACGCAUUAAGCACUCCGCCUGGGGAGUACGACCGCAAGGUUGAAACUCAAAGGAAUUGACGGGGGCCCGCACAAGCGGUGGAGCAUGUGGUUUAAUUCGAAGCAACGCGAAGAACCUUACCAGGUCUUGACAUCCUUUGACCACUCUAGAGAUAGAGCUUCCCCUUCGGGGGCAAAGUGACAGGUGGUGCAUGGUUGUCGUCAGCUCGUGUCGUGAGAUGUUGGGUUAAGUCCCGCAACGAGCGCAACCCUUAUUGUUAGUUGCCAUCAUUCAGUUGGGCACUCUAGCAAGACUGCCGGUGACAAACCGGAGGAAGGUGGGGAUGACGUCAAAUCAUCAUGCCCCUUAUGACCUGGGCUACACACGUGCU